CAGCUGAAAAGAACAGACCAAUGAUUUGCUCGUUCAAAUGAAACGCGAAGAGAAUUCACGCGAACGUCGACCUCCCCGACGUGUCGUUCUGUCGAAUGGAAAGUAAACGUCUACGCCAUCGUGAUCGGAAGGCUCGAAAUUGACGUCUCGUGAUCAGGCGAGGAUACCGCGCGAGAAGUUCUCGCGGCGGACCGCGCCGAUGACCGCUCGACGACAGACCGCGCGCGCGCGUGAAAGGGUCGAAGAGUCUGAGCGCGAGGUCGAGGUUAGGUUAACGCGGGCACGCGAUCGACGGAAUUCCCAACUUCGAACCGAUAACGGAAAGGGUCGAAUUUCGUGUUUUGCGACUCGGGCAGCAGAAGCCACGAGGAAUUCAACCGGUGGACCGGGGCUACGGUCUCGAAACGACGGAAAUUCACGAGAAAUGGCGACCACUUACUCGGAGAGCACGUGCGCGCGGAGGGUUGGGUCGGCGGGGCGGCGUGAUUGAUGGCAUCUGCCGAGGGAAAAUCCUCCGUCCGGCACCAGGAGUGUACGCGCAGGAGUCAGGCCCCGUGGGGAUGGCCGAGCGCGCUCGGCUGAUCAACCGAAACGACGAAAUUCGACGGGUUUCGUCGACCGGCUACGGGGAGAGCAUGUCGGGCCGGCGCGUGACGCGCCGUUCGGCUCGCACGGCGGAAAUUCCCGAGGAUCGACGAUCGGCCAGCAGGUUCGCACGCGGCCGAGCAGGUGGCAGCGCGGCUCGGCCGGAGCGACGGAAAUUCCCGAGAGCCGACGGUCCCGUGUCAGGAGCGCACAGCUCGCGAGCUGGUGACACGGACGCGCCCGGUGAAACGACGGAAAUUCACGAGUCCCGACGGACGGGUGUCGGGGAAGCACACGGCCGAGCGGGUGGUCGGUCGAUAAAAGGCGAUUGUAUUCGUCACCGCGUGCGCCGGAGAAUGAAAAGGCUUUGAAAUUCAUGUGUCGGUGGCGGGAGAUCAUGAGUGAGCAGCAGAAGGCAGCUGGCAUCGGCACGGUCGGCUGACGGUAACGCGCUUUGGUAUCAGGAGUUUAUGACGGAUGGAGAGGUUAGGUCGGCCGCUGCGGCGUCCGCACGCGGCAAAUUUCAAAAGAGGUGUGGGACACGGUUUAGACGCUGCGAAGUUGGCAGAUCAGACUAUCAAAAUUAAGGGUCAUUACCGUGAUUAGAUGGUAGCAGUAAUGACAGUAAUGACAGUAAUGAGAUCCCAGUUUCACCGUGUCUGAACUAUUUUGCAACUAGGUAAGUGUAAAUGACCGAAAUACAAUAAAAACGCGUUUCUUAGUAAAAAUAAAACCUC